AGAGCAUGAAAAAAAUUUAAACUUUUUAACAUACACCUACACAUUUUGUUCCAAUUUUGUCAAAAGAGGUUCAAAAUUCUCAAGGACCUGCAGCCUAUAUUCCAUAAAGAUUCACUUGAUGAGGGGAAGGACCCCAAAAAAGGACUUCAUAUUCGUGUUCAUGGGCUCAAUUUAGGGAGGCGUACAAAAAAUUGGGUUUUUUUUUGCCAUUUUCCUCGUAAACUGCAUUUCUGCCCAGGUUUUGAAUGCUGAUAAGGUAAAGGCUAAUGCUAUGCCCACAUCGACUCGUUUUGAAAAACAUCUCAACCGUUCAUACUAGUGUGAUGUUUUGGAAAUUGCAUUUUUUCACACUCCAACGUCAAUGUUAUGAUGCACUAUUGUUAACAUUUAUUCUUUCUUGCUUUUUCGGACUGUGUUAUUUAGGCAUUUAUUUGGGCUCACAUGCUUUGAGUGACUCUUUUUUUUGUGGCAAACGAGUCGUUUCGCUCUUAUAAAUUGUAAAGGCAAAAUGAACCGAAAUACCUAUCAACGUGAAUUGAUUCUGAACGAUGCAAAUGGACUUCUUCAUAAGAAUAUUUCCUCUGAUCUCUUUCAAUGAUUAAAUACGCUGUACACAAUGUAA